rnacentral:lncRNA from 1 species
UGCAAACUUUCAUAAAAAUCGGUCAAGUCGUUUCGGAGGAGUAUGGCAACAAACACUGUAAAAAGAGCAUUUUAUACAUAUAGCUGUAAAAAUUUUGGUGGCUACUAAAAUCACAAUAUAAAACCGUAUAAACCUUCCCUGAACUUCCACAAAUAAUUCAACAUCAAAAUUAGCCAAAUCGGUCCACACAUUCUCGAGUUUUAGCGAGACUAACGCACAGCAAUAGAUUUUUAUAUAUAAGAUGCAAAACUUUAGAUGGCUAUUAAAAAAUAACGAUAGAAAAGUGAAAAUUUAGGGUUGUAUUUACCUUUGCCUUCCACAUCACAUAAAAUUAAGAAAAAACAGUUUGAUCAAAAAAAUAAAAAAAUAUUUUAGGGGGGCAGCCCCCGUUACGACGUACGGAUAUGAAAAAUACAUAACAACCUAUUCUCGGUCCGGUCAAAUACACGUGGAAAAUUUCAUAAAAAUCUAUUCAGUCGUUCUCGAGUUAUGUGUUGGUAACUGUCACGACUUUCUUUUGUUUAUAUAGAUGUAAAAUAUUUAAAUGGCCAUUAAAAAAUAACGGUUAGUGAUAGAAAAGUGAAAAUUUAGGGUUUUAUGUAUCUUUAAGUUCCACAUCGUAUGCAAUUAAAAAAAAGAGUUUGUCUGAAAAAAUAGAAAUAAAUAUAAGGGUGGCAAGCCCCCUUAAGACGCACGGGUAUGAAAUAUAGAUAACGACCUACUCCCGGUCCGGUCGAGUACACUUGCAAACUUUCAUAAAAAUCGGUCAAGUCGUUUCGGAGGAGUAUGGCAACAAACACUGUAAAAAGAGCAUUUUAUACAUAUAGCUGUAAAAAUUUUACAAGAAUCUACAGGUCGAGCAAGUCUCGUAAAUUUCACGAUUGCGAGCCACGCUUCACGCAACCGUGUUUGCGUACUUGUGUUUCGAGUUGCGUGGUCGUGCGGAGUUAUAUUUACCAAAUUUAAAUGUAAUCCUUUCUACUGAUAAUAAUAUAGUCAAUAUGGCUACUGGGUGUAUAAAAGAUAAAUCUUAUUCUAUCUGUUCUUCAUGAGUUUUAGAUAAUUUUAGUUGUAUUUCUUUGUAAUUUUGUGUUGUACAAAGAUUAAUUUAACAUUUUCUCUGGAAGUAUUAAUUUAGAAAGAUAAUAUGCUUCAUUGGUGUUGUGUUUUGAAGUGUGAAAUGCAAAGUAAUUGUGAUAAAGUCAAGAUAAAGUUCACUUUUAAACUGAACUAAAUAAGGUAUCUGAGAGACAACAAUGGUUAAAUGCAAUACAAUGUACAGGUUUUACUAGCGAAAUGAAAAUUUUCCUGUCCUGUCUGCUGUAAUCAUUUUAUAUCUGGAAAACCAGCAGACUUAAUCGAUAAUAACAAUCUCCAGAUUGGGUUCCUUCAAUAAAUAUGGGCUAUAAACACAAUGAAAUAAGUUCCCCAAAAUCUAAAAUGGAGUGGUAUCAAAGGAGAAUUAAAGGAAAAAAUAUUCAUAUUGAAAUUAUUUAUAAGGCACUGGACUGUCUUAAAUUCUACAAUAAUACUAGAAUCAGCUGAGAGAAGUGGUCUACAAAAAACCAGGAAGGAAACGGAAUAUGUGGCUACGAAAGGCAAAAGAAAGGUUUACAAAGCAAAUGUGACACAUUUUUUUGAAAUAUUUAGGAAUAUCAGUAAAUUGCAUUAAAAAAUGUAUGAAAAGAUUUUGUUCAAUAAAAAUGUUUAUAUUUA